rnacentral:lncRNA from 1 species
GUAGAAGGCUAAAAGGAGGCCUCUUAUUGUAGAAGCUCGAUCGAAGAUCGGUUGUCGUGGAAGCUCGAAGUAGUGACCUGACCGAUGGAGCCUGUCUCGUUGUAGAAGCUCGUCUGGGAUCCAUCCACUAUAGGAGCUCGACUGAAGUCUACUUGUAAUAAAAGUUCAGAAGAAAUUUGUUUAUAGUAGAGGCUCGGAUGGAAAUCGCUUAUAGUAGAGAUCCAGAGUAGACCGCCUGCAGUACAAGUUUGGAGUAGACUGCUUGCGGUAGAAGUUCGGAGUAGAGAUCUGGCUGGUGGAGCUCUUCCGUUGUCAAAAUUCGUCUGGGAUCUAUCCACUGUAGGAGUUUGGCUGAAAUUUGAUUCUCGUAGGAGCUCGGAUGGAAUCCGAAAGGUGGUCGAUUGUCGUAGAAACUUGGGUGGAGUCUGGUUAUCGUAGAAAUCUCAUUGUCGGAGAAGCUCAAAUAUUGAUGAAGUUCGAAAGAAGUUCGGAGUAGAGUCAUCCGUGGUCGGAA